UACGUAGGGACCAAGCGUUGUUCGGAUUUACUGGGCGUAAAGGGCGCGUAGGCGGCACUUCAAGUCAUCUGUGAAAUCUCCGGGCUUAACUCGGAAUGGUCAGGUGAUACUGCUUUGCUAGAGUGCAGAAGGGGCAAUCGGAAUUCUUGGUGUAGCGGUGAAAUGCGUAGAUAUCAAGAGGAACACCUGAGGUGAAGACGGGUUGCUGGGCUGACACUGACGCUGAGGCGCGAAAGCUAGGGGAGCAAACGGG
rnacentral:rRNA from 1 species